UUUUCCUCCCGUCCAGCAGGUCAGUACUCCUGGAGAGAAGUACAGCGCAGGGACUGUUAGGCAAACAUCAUACCCUCAGCAACAACACGUUCUGCGGCCUUGGACAUUAGUAUGUCUUUACCACAAAGAUCCAGUGUUUGCCUGAAGAAUGACGUAGUUUCUCCAUUUGUUUGGCUCAUGUAGCGAUACCUUUAGCCUUUACAUAGACACAGUGAGACAUCUGAUUUCUCCUCUCACUGAGCAACACUGUCCUCAUUUGGGCGCUUCCUCCUUGAGCCUGUCUCUUCUAGAGGUGCCUGCCAAGCCUUUUUCAGAGUAAUGUGAUGCAGCCAUAGGUCUGUAGCUAUCAAGAGACUGCUGGUGUGAGCACCCUUGGUAGAGGUGGCUACAUCUGGACGUUACUUUGACAUAUAUUGAAUUUGUGGCUGUGGACAGCAUGACUUCAAUAAUACAGGAAAACUGGGACAUCUUUGGUGGACAUGGAAUGGGAGGAACACUGAAGCCCUCAUGGAAGCUUUUAGUAGGUCAGGUGCCAGAUAAUAUUUCUGCAAUGUGUUCAGGAUCACCGCGAGAACAGCGCUGCCUGGCAGAAGCCAAGCAUUCACAGAUCUGGUCGUUACACUUAGAUGCCAAAGUGGGAUUUGGGCUCCCUAGAAAAUACAAACUAUCUUGGCAAAGGCUGUGCCUCUAAAAACAUUCAGCAGAAUCUUAAUGGUUGUUCAUAAAUCCUUAGAAAUCCAGGGACCACAGUUUGAAAGCUACUGAACUAACAGGCAAGGUACAUGGAUGUGGCAGCUGGAAGAUACUUUCUCCAUUUCCCUUGAACCGAGAAGAGAGCCCACUCUCAACACCUGCUGACGUUCACCUGGCUGCCUCCCUGCUAUGCAGUGUCACGGGAAAGCAACGUUCUUACCCGAUGCUAUCAAGCAGUAAGGUCAGUACACAGAGCAAGUGCGAGUGGAAAGCAGCCUGGAAAAGAGAGUUCUGCAAUAACAGCUUAAGACAGAGACUUAAGGCAAGGAGUUUUGUGAGGAGCUGUCUUUUAGAAGAUGACACCAAAGGUUUGCGUGGCUUCAUGUGCUAAAAUUAAUUAUGCAAUCUGUAUCUGUCUGAAUGUACAUUUUCUUUUGUGCCAGAGGUAAAAAAAAGGAUAGAGAAUUUGAUAAUGAUCUGUAUAAAAACUGCUGCAUACUUUCCAGAGAUCUGCCUGGAGCCCUCCAAAAUCUUAAACGUGGAUUUUGGUUUAAGCUCACUUGUGCUUUAGUAUAAAAUUUUCAUCCCUAUUUGUUAAAAAAAGAAAAAACAUAUUAGACGAAGCUGCUGCUACUAAUUGCACUAGCUAUUACCUUUUGCUGUCAGCUCUUGGAAUCUCAGAGCUAAAUGUGCAUUGACUCAUCAGAGGUGCUAUAGAUAAUUGGUAUUUUACCUCCUCGUGUCACAGACUUUUGCUAAAAUAAGACCAAGGCCCCUGCACACAAGAUACUGUACACAAAUACAGCAAGAUGCAAUUUCUACCUUAGUGGAUCUUCAGUUUAAGAAUAUAAAAGAUAGGAGGGAAUCUCUUAUUCCCAGACAUGUAACAAAUCAGCCUGGUUUUGUUGUCAUGAACAACUAGUAUUUUAUAGUUUAACCACACCAGUAAUCCACACAGGUAAAAUAUCUGGAAUAAUAUUGAAAAAAAGGCCACUAAAUGUGGUAUGCUGAAGUAAUAGCAACUCUUUGCAAAUUAAAGCAAUCUGACAGACAAGGAUGAAGAAGAAUCGGUCUUGCAGAAGUCUAUCAGGAGCUAUUCCGGAGCAGCAGAAGUGAGGUAUUCCAGUGCAGCUCUUGCAGAAUAGCUCCUUAUACCUAGCUCUUCUGUUCAAUUUUUAUAUGUCAUUGUACCCUCGGGGCUUGCUAGGAAACCAGCCAUUUCACAGUCUCUGAAAGAGAAAUGUGCAGAUUAAAUUAGCUCCCGAGUAUCUGUGAUUUGGGUAGGUGUGACGGGUGCACCCGCUCUGAGUGAGUGAGCAGCACUUUGGGUCAGGCACCACCGACCCAUCAGCCCUGCUGGGCAAACCAUGAGAACUGUGCUAGGCCAUGUCUUCUCCGGAACUGAGGAGUCUAUGCCACGUCUUAUCAGGAACCGGAGUCUAUGCCACGUCUUAUCAGGAGCUAAGAGUUACGUCCUGAGCCGGGACUAGACAGAACUACAACUGCUGCAGCUGCACACCUGCAGGUACACCAAAGCGGGGGCUGAGUACAAGUCAGUCACUUUACACUACAGAUAUCCGUAGCCCCCCUGAGCCCGCUGAGCUCCGAAAGGCAGUGGGCUGCACAGUGGUGAUCUCCCCUUGAGCAGGGGGUUGCCCCUCGGGGUCGAGAGACCCCCUUACCUGGCAUUUGGUGUCUAUAACAACAUAAACGACACUUUACAGGAGGCCUAAAAGUAUGUUGUAUGCUAACAUCUAUAUAUCCAGCUAUAGCUUAAGUAUUAGAAGUGUAGUAAGUAGCAGAGAGUUUGACCACCAUCAUAAUUUAAAUCAUUGUUGAAAUCAUCAAUUAGAUCAUUGUUCAAGUACCAUUUCAACUUACUGAUCAAUUAUUGUUAAAUCGUUGUUAAAUCACUGUUUAAUUAUCAAUUAUUGCUUAAUCAUGGUUUGAUUAUCAUUUAAUUAUCAUUCAAUCAUUGAUUUAUUAUAAUUUGAUCAUCAUUUAACCAUUAAUAAAACCUUAAUA